AUACUCUGAUUUCUCUUCAGAUUGUAUAAAUCUUUUGCCUUUUACUAAAGAUUUCCGUGCAGAGGAACAUUUAUGAAUUUGUAACAGUUUUUGAGGCCCUGAGAUAGAUAGAUA
rnacentral:snRNA from 1 species